UACGAACUGUGCAAACGUUAUUCGGAAUCACUGGGCUUAAAGGGUGCGUAGGCGGCCUGUUAAGUAGGGUGUGAAAUGCCAGAGCUCAACUUUGGCAUUGCGCUCUAGACUGGCUGGCUUGAGUGAGAUAGGGGUGUGCGGAACUUCCAGUGGAGCGGUGAAAUGUGUUGAUAUUGGAAGGAACGCCGGUGGCGAAAGCGGCACACUGGGUCUUAACUGACGCUGAUGCACGAAAGCCAGGGGAGCGAACGGG
rnacentral:rRNA from 1 species